rnacentral:rRNA from 1 species
GGGUGGAUUAGUGGCGAACGGGUGAGUAACACGUGAGUAACCUGCCCUUAACUCUGGGAUAAGCCUGGGAAACUGGGUCUAAUACCGGAUAUGACCUUCCAUCGCAUGGUGGUUGGUGGAAAGCUUUUUGUGGUUUUGGAUGGACUCGCGGCCUAUCAGCUUGUUGGUGAGGUAAUGGCUUACCAAGGCGACGACGGGUAGCCGGCCUGAGAGGGUGACCGGCCACACUGGGACUGAGACACGGCCCAGACUCCUACGGGAGGCAGCAGUGGGGAAUAUUGCACAAUGGGCGCAAGCCUGAUGCAGCGACGCCGCGUGAGGGAUGACGGCCUUCGGGUUGUAAACCUCUUUCAGUAGGGAAGAAGCGAAAGUGACGGUACCUGCAGAAGAAGCGCCGGCUAACUACGUGCCAGCAGCCGCGGUAAUACGUAGGGCGCAAGCGUUAUCCGGAAUUAUUGGGCGUAAAGAGCUCGUAGGCGGUUUGUCGCGUCUGCCGUGAAAGUCCGGGGCUCAACUCCGGAUCUGCGGUGGGUACGGGCAGACUAGAGUGAUGUAGGGGAGACUGGAAUUCCUGGUGUAGCGGUGAAAUGCGCAGAUAUCAGGAGGAACACCGAUGGCGAAGGCAGGUCUCUGGGCAUUAACUGACGCUGAGGAGCGAAAGCAUGGGGAGCGAACAGGAUUAGAUACCCUGGUAGUCCAUGCCGUAAACGUUGGGCACUAGGUGUGGGGGACAUUCCACGUUUUCCGCGCCGUAGCUAACGCAUUAAGUGCCCCGCCUGGGGAGUACGGCCGCAAGGCUAAAACUCAAAGGAAUUGACGGGGGCCCGCACAAGCGGCGGAGCAUGCGGAUUAAUUCGAUGCAACGCGAAGAACCUUACCAAGGCUUGACAUGGACUGGAAAUACCUGGAAACAGGUGCCCCGCUUGCGGCCGGUUCACAGGUGGUGCAUGGUUGUCGUCAGCUCGUGUCGUGAGAUGUUGGGUUAAGUCCCGCAACGAGCGCAACCCUCGUUCUAUGUUGCCAGCACGUGAUGGUGGGGACUCAUAGGAGACUGCCGGGGUCAACUCGGAGGAAGGUGGGGACGACGUCAAAUCAUCAUGCCCCUUAUGUCUUGGGCUUCACGCAUGCUACAAUGGCCGGUACAAAGGGUUGCGAUACUGUGAGGUGGAGCUAAUCCCAAAAAGCCGGUCUCAGUUCGGAUUGGGGUCUGCAACUCGACCCCAUGAAGUCGGAGUCGCUAGUAAUCGCAGAUCAGCAACGCUGCGGUGAAUACGUUCCCGGGCCUUGUACACACCGCCCGUCAAGUCACGAAAGUUGGUAACACCCGAAGCCGGUGGCCUAACCCCUUGGGGAGGGAG